rnacentral:tRNA from 1 species
GGACUCAUAGUGCAGCGGUCUAGCACAUUACGCUCGGAUGUAAAGACGAGUGGUUCGAUCCCCUCCUGACAUCU